rnacentral:rRNA from 1 species
GAUGAACGCUGGCGGCGUGCCUAAUACAUGCAAGUCGAGCGAACAGACGAGGAGCUUGCUCCUCUAACGUUAGCGGCGGACGGGUGAGUAACACGUGGAUAACCUACCUAUAAGACUGGGAUAACUUCGGGAAACGGGAGCUAAUACCGGAUAAUAUAUUGAACCGCAUGGUUCAAUAGUGAAAGACGGUUUUGCUGUCACUUAUAGAUGGAUCCGCGCCGCAUUAGCUAGUUGGUAAGGUAACAGCUUACCAAGGCAACGAUGCGUAGCCGACCUGAGAGGGUGAUCGGCCACACUGGAACUGAGACACGGUCCAGACUCCUACGGGAGGCAGCAGUAGGGAAUCUUCCGCAAUGGGCGAAAGCCUGACGGAGCAACGCCGCGUGAGUGAUGAAGGUCUUCGGAUCGUAAAACUCUGUUAUUAGGGAAGAACAAAUGUGUAAGUAACUAUGCACGUCUUGACGGUACCUAAUCAGAAAGCCACGGCUAACUACGUG